UGCCCAACGUCGCCAGUUUUGAAUAAACGAGCAGGACAUUUUGUACACAUAAACUAGAGAGUCGACUUUAAAAGGAAUAUUUCCAGCGUUUACUUCAGCGCUGUUGUUUGCUGUUAGUCUUGUUGCCCUGGCAGUUGGAUGUGUUUUCUGGGUCAAGGGUCGGGCAAAUUCCCGAUUUGUCUACCAAAGAAUUGGAAAACAACGUGGACGAAAUGUAAAACAACAACACUAAGCUGUGAACUGAAAAGUCUUUCGCUUUUAUUAAAGAUUCUAUUUGCGUAAUACAUUUAGUAGAUUAAUAGUUGGAUUUAAAAAAAAUUAUAUUCUAUAGUUGCAUUACCGAUUAUGCUAUUAGUUUUAAACUUUUGCCGCCUUUUUAUAAAAGGCACAUACAUAUAUUUAUUAAUCUUGGCCUUGUUUUGAAAUGAGGAUGAUUGUUAUUAUUAAUUAUUUCAAAUACUUUAUAUUUAAUGUACUAACAUUUUGAUUCACUUAUAAUUAUUUUGAGUUAUUGAAAUUUUGAGCCCAUUGAUAUUAGCAAAUUUUUUUAUUUACACUGUCUUACUGCAUGUCCAAUGCCUGAUUUUCAUAAAAUCGCUACGCGCUAUCGCUGACAGCUUUUGGCCAAGCUGAUUAUUAGUUAAAUCAGGGCACCUUUCUGAUUGUGUAGGGACAACUACGCAAUGUAUCGAUUGCAGUGAACACAGUGUAGUGACUGGGAGCGAUUUUAAGGAAGCCAGGCUUCCAGGUACAGAGAUACAGAAUAUUUGUGAGUAUUGCACUGUGUAACUGAACGAAAUUGUUUCAUUUUAAUUAGUAAAGUAUUAAAAUAAAUAAAUAAUACUGCUAAUCA